UGGACUAAGAACUCUCGCCUGCGUGGCAA
rnacentral:piRNA from 1 species